rnacentral:rRNA from 1 species
UGGGGAAUCUUCCGCAAUGGGCGCAAGCCUGACGGAGCAACGCCGCGUGAGUGAAGAAGGGUUUCGAUUCGUAAAGCUCUGUUGUCGGGGACGAAUGUGGAGAUGGUGAAUAACCAUUUCUAAUGACGGUACCCAACAAGGAAGUGACGGCUAACUACGUGCCAGCAGCCGCGGUAAAACGUAGGUCACAAGCGUUGUCCGGAAUUACUGGGUGUAAAGGGAGCGCAGGCGGGAAGACAAGUUGGAAGUGAAAUCUAUGGGCUCAACCCAUAAACUGCUUUCAAAACUGUUUUUCUUGAGUAGUGCAGAGGUAGGCGGAAUUCCCGGUGUAGCGGUGGAAUGCGUAGAUAUCGGGAGGAACACCAGUGGCGAAGGCGGCCUACUGGGCACCAACUGACGCUGAGGCUCGAAAGUGUGGGUAGCAAACAGGAUUAGAUACCCUGGUAGU